CAUGUGCAAGGUGUAAAUAUAAAGCAAUUAUCAAAAUUAUACUGCUGGUCUGAUUAGACUGGCACUAUCGGUUUCAAUUUUAUUCAGGGUAAUCUCGUUCUCUUGGUGUUAUCUAGCGUUCUUGUGAGUUAUCAUCUGACGACUGCUACUAACUGAACAUGUCAUUUUUUUUAACGUCUCCUGGAGCUCUGUUAAGAUUCACAUGGGCCUAAUUUUAGUCCGGCUUUCAUCGCUGCCAGAGAAGAAGUUUCUGUGGGUGCAUUAUAAACUUGCAAGCUCUCUGGAACACUUGAAAUUUAUUCCGUGUAUUUCACGAAAGAAUAAAUUCAAAGAUAUAGACGGGAAGGAGGCGAGGGUUGACAGCCGUCUGGUAGUGUGUACUGAAUACGAAGACGGGAGGGAGAGACAGUUGUCUGGUAGUCUCUACCGAAGAUGUAGACGGGAAGGAGGCGAGAGGAGACAGUUGUCUCAUAAUGGUAGGAAUUGAUUAAAUGUCCAACCAAACACUAAUUCGUCGUCUUUUCUCAGAGUGUCCCUGUGUGGGGAAGGAAGAGUUGGCUGAGGAAAGAAGUGGGGAAGGGAGAGCGGGAAAGAGGAGUGACAAGUGGAAGGGAACCUAAUGGAACAUGCCCCAGUAUCAUGGGAAUUAUUUGUCAUAGAUAAUAAAAGAGAAUCACCUGAGAGAGCUAACAAAAGCUGUUAUCUAUCAUUACUAUUUUAUAAUUAGUGUAAUAAUAUUAUUUACUUGGUCUUUCUUGCUCUGCCUCACACACUCUUCUUCUUGACCUCCUCUACUUCACCACCUCUACCUUACCCACUCUACCUCACUUCCUCUACCUUACCCACUCUACCUCACUUCCUCUAUUUCACUCCCUCUGCCUCACACCUCUACCUUGCCCACGCUACCUCAUCCCCCCUUCCCUCUUUGCCUCACCCUCUACCUCACAACUCUUCAGAACAAUCAUUUAUAUAAAAGCCUUCCUAAGAAGUCUCUGAAUUAUAACUGAAAAAAACCAGUUGUGGCGAAACGACCCCUUUAAUAAAUUUCAUAGCUCUGCAUGUGUUUUCUUGGCUAAAGUUAGUAGCUUUCCAGAUUAAUAAUCCCAAUGACACUCAUCACCUACCAAAAGAAAAAAAAGAGAAGCAAAUAGCGACACCUACUUAUACUUGGAAAUCCCAAGUGGCUUCAAGUGCUGUAACUAGUGCCGUUGUUUACGACAGUGUUAUCGGCAGCGAGAUAGUGGCACUUGUAUAAAGCUACAGCGAGUGGUGGAUACACCCCAGUUGAUGGACGGGAGCCACGGUGUUCUUGUGAAGUUACCCCUUCAAUAGUUUACGUUUUCUAUCACUUAGAGAGAAAAUCUUCACAAGAUGAGUACCGCGGCAUCCCGUGUUGUACCACGCCUCCUCUCCGCCCUCCGCUCGCACGCCCACACGCCCACCCUCCGCUCGCACGCCUGCAAGCCCAUGUCCAGAAACAUCUCCGGCUUUCAGGGCAUGCAAGGUCUCGCCCAGCCCUGGGUG